rnacentral:rRNA from 1 species
UACGAAGGGGGCUAGCGUUGUCCGGAAUUACUGGGCGUAAAGGGCGCGUAGGCGGUGCCUCAAGUCAGGCGUGAAAGCCCCGGGCUCAACCUGGGAAUUGCGCUUGUGACUGCAAGGCUAGAGUGCGGCAGAGGGGGAUGGAAUUCCGGCGUGUAGCAGUGAAAUGCGUAGAUAUGCGGAGGAACACCGAUGGCGAAGGCAAUCCCCUGGGCCUGCACUGACGCUCAUGCACGAAAGCGUGGGGAGCAAACAGG